rnacentral:misc_RNA from 1 species
AACGCAACUUGCGCCUCCCCGGAGGCAUGUCUGUUUGAGUGCCGCAAACCUCUAUGCAGCAAUGCGAUUUGAGCAGUGCCAGCAGCCUAGUGUUGGUACUAGGCACUUUGUGCUUGGUACUUUGCUAGUAUCGAGCUGCUGGCUUGGUCUAAAUGGAGCAAGACACUGGUCAUGUUGGACUGGCCCGAGUGCUAAGCAUUCUUGGGUCUGGUUCUGGCGUGGCCAGCAGCGAGUAGAGGAUAGAAGGAGGGAUAGGAGGGGAUAGAGUGUGUAAAGGAGGGAAGAGACAUCUUCUCCCCUCUACUACUCACCACCCUCCUCCUCCUCCUCCCCUCUCCUCCUACUCCACACAUACUAUUGGCCUCAAAUCAGGCAAGACUACCCGCUGAACUUAA